GGUAGCUCAGUUGGUACAGCAUCGCACGCGAAGUGCGAAGGUUGUGAGAUCGUUCCACACCUGCGGCAAGAUGUUUUUUUUUUUUUAUCCACUUUCAUUUCCAUUAAUUUAUCGUUUACUUCAUUUAUUAAGCACAAGUGAUUUCCCCUAUGUUGUCCUUGGCGUCAGUGUUUGUUUGCUUCUUAUGAUAGUCCUCGUGUAAUGGUAGCAGCGUAUCCUAAGUAGAUAGAUCGUUUCAAUAGCCUAGCCAAUAGUGUGGUAGGUGGCGCACUUUUUCCACGCACAGUCCGAGCCUGUUAAGGAUUGUAUAUUCUAUAUUUUUACCCAAACAGGAGGUCAGGGACAAUGGUUUGAGAUGAGCUAUUGCGGGCACCUCGCAUGGCGUAGGUAUGAAGAUGAUGGAUGCUUCCUUUCUUUCCUAUAGUAGAGCUCCAUCCUUCCGCAUAUGAUUCAUCAUUCCAUGUAAUAUCAUCUACCCGAUAGUAGCUCGAAGGUGCUACUAUCGGGUAGAUACCAAUUACUCGUUCAUGAAACUUUCGCCACUUUGCGAGUUUCUACCGAACUCGUUUGCCAACUUCUGUCAUUGAGUUCAGCAAAUUCUUGCUCUUAAUUUGCUUAUAUUGGCGAUCUUGUACGAGUAGCCAUGCUAACAGUACCAAUCAUGGAAUCAUCGCUGUGACAUCUUUUCUAAAUGCAGAGAAAGACGAGAAGAGGUAUCGCUGGUGAAUGCAUGCUCAGGAACUUCCUGCAGCACUAUCCUGGAUUUUAUUCUGUAACAAACACGGAGGGAAUAUGGAUCUUCAAGAAAAUGAUGGCAUGCUUCUGCAACGAAAAGGAUCUGGAAUUCGAUGACGCUGGCGUGACGAACGCUGUCAUGCAUUGGAUUUAUGAAGUUUUGAGGAGCGGCGCAUGAACUUUGCUUAGGGCUUCCAGUGGAUAACCAGUCUCACAGACUCCGGCGUCUCCGUCUUCAAGACAGUGUGAAAAUAGACAACGUCCUUAGUAUGUUUACAUUGAGACCCGAAGCGGGAAGAGGUUUUGUCACAGUUGGUAAUAAACGCC